GAUAGUUAAGAAUGUUACUAUAGGUCUUUCAAUAAAUUUUGCUUUUAAGGGAAGUUACUAUUUAUUCCUAAUUAAAUGGGGAGACAAGUCUUUCCAGAGGAACUUCUACUUUACUUUUUACAAUUCCUCCUCUUAUUUCAUAAUUCUUCUUCAAACUUGUUUAAUAUGUUUUGACUUAAUUGCUUUGUUUGUCCUUUUAAGAGAAGUAAUUUUUCUGAAUAAGGUGGAGGAGAGUUAGGAGUUAACUCUGUAAGCAUGGCAGAGACAGGUUUUUGUGUAAAACUUCGACGGUAGGGAAUAAUAUAACAGCCUACAAGAAUAAGUACACCAAUAACAACAGCAAAUGAGCUCUGUCUCAAUCUUAUUGAGCCAAGUUCUGCCCAGUUGCAGCAAUGAAUCCUGCUUGUCAAUCCAAACUACAUAUAAAGUACCUGGAAACCUACUCCAAAAAGCUGGGAAUCCCAGCGGGUCUCACCUGGAAAUGACUUCAGUGGGAUAUGAGGUAGAAUGUGGUGGCCACUGCAAACCAUAACUGCGUCAAAGACAGCACUCUGCUCCUUGCCGUUGCUCUGAGUGACAACCUUCCAUUGGCCAGAGGAUGAGAAAUCUGGACAUUUUCUCACACUAAGGACAGUUGUCUUGAAGAAACACAGAGAAGGCAUCAUUGAGAAUUACUCCAGGAUAACAUUGGCCAAGUGUGUCUUUCUCAUUGCUGCUUCAUGCAAGAGGCCUGACUCAGCAGUGGGACUAAUCUGUUAAGGGUGUUGAAUACUGAAUAAGGACUUGAGAGAGAAAAGAAAAGCAAGUUCUCAUGAAAACUGUCAGAAUCUAGAUGGAGUCACUAAUGUUAAGAAACCCGACAAAUAGAAUUGGGAAAGGCCAGAAAGAGCGGGUUCUCAUGAUGUGUGCCUGAUAACAAAAACUACAAAAACCACCACCUUACACAAAGACCAUCAUAAUCUUACACAAAAAUGACUUCUACAAGAACAUCUGCUCAGUAACUGUCCAAUCUCAGACUGGCAUCACCCUUGUUAUUGCUCUUUAUAUAAUUAUUUCAAAACAAUUAUGUAAUUGUAUUUUUUCCCCAUUUAAAAACCUUUGUCUUCCUUUAACUCCCUGAAUACACAAAUAGUUUACCAUGGCAUGUACAUUCUCAUUACAAUGCUCUAUCACCAAAUAUAUAUCUUUUCUUU
rnacentral:lncRNA from 1 species